GUCCCCGUCCCGCGGCCGUCGCCUUACCCGGCCAGCUCCAGCAGCAGGCUGCCCACGCUGACCCCCCGCGCGGACCUGGCCGCCACCACCGCCGCCAGCUGCGGCAGCUUGAUCACCGCGCACACCGCCCAGCCACCACAGACUCCCUCCAGAUCUUAUCCUGUCGAACCUGGUCCUGCUGCAGCACUGCCUGCUCAUCUGCCCAGGCCUGAGUAGCCGGUUGUGCAAUGUCAGAUCUUCUGGCUUGGGUGCUGCUGAGAGACAGCGAUGGAGCUGAGGCUGGUUGCCCCAGAGGUGUGGUUGCUGGUUGCCAAGACCUAACCAAGCUCAGACCAUGAAAGAGGAAGCUAGAAGGAUUUCAGGAUUCUCCCACUCCUAGAUCUGCUGCUGAAUUUAAGAGAAGAUGCAUAGUAUGCCUGCCUGUCGCUCAACAAGCCCACCUGUAAAAGAAGAAAGAUCACAGCCAUAUCACAUUAUCUGUGAAGAACAAAUUUCCAAGGGAUGUGAUUUGAUGGACAGCAAAGCAAUUUUCAUAUACAAAAGUUUGUGUUUGUGACAUACUGCAGAGAUUUAAGACAUACACUCAUUUAAAAACACAAGUGCAGUUCAUAUGUCAUGUGUGAAUAAGAAGCAGGAGCAAGAUUGUCAGCUGGAGGAGAGGGCAGCUCUCUGAAGACCAGCUUUUCAGAACAGAUCACCAUUUGGAAGAUCUCUGCCACUUCACGAAUACGAUGGAGACCUCCAUGUAAAUCCUUCAGUAUCAGCAGUGUUGCCUGCCUCAAAUAGUGACAUUUGCAUUGUCAUCAUCAUCUUCCUCACAUGAAUAAAGAUCAGUCAAGUCAGUCAAGAUUGCAGGUUGGAAGAUGGGUCAUGGUGAUGGUUAGCAGAGCAGGGGGUUAGAUGAUCGGUCAGAGGAUGCUGAGCACCCAGCAGAGAAGUGAUGUAUGACAGAGCAUUACUGUGGCACUUUCUCACCGGCCCUGGGCAUUAACCAGCAAGGGCCCUAGAAAGCCCCGAGGUGACAGAUCCUGCUGACAACCCGUGUCCUGGUGUGGCAGGAGCAGAGUGCCUUGAGUCGCUGUAUGUAGCCAAAAUGAAAACAAAUCCUGCAAACUAGUGUUUUAAACUCCUUUUAAAUGAUUACGUAGCUGCUUGAUUAAAGGCCUCAUGCAUUAAGUUUUGCUGUAGCUUUCAUAAAAAAAUAGAAACUUCUUUCUUGUCUUAAUGGAGUUCUGCUGAGAGAGCCUGACAAGUUGAGCGUCUGUUGCGUCGGCAGCAUACAAAUACCACUGGGGGAAUGUCUGCUUCCAGUGACACAGUCUGACACUUCAAAAUAAAAUCAAAGCUGUAA